rnacentral:rRNA from 1 species
CACGUAGGGGGCAAGCGUUGUCCGGAUUUAUUGGGCGUAAAGAGCGUGUAGGCGGCCAGACAGGUCAGCUGUGAAAACUCGAGGCUCAACCUCGAGACGUCGGUUGAAACCGUCUGGCUAGAGUCCGGAAGAGGAGAGUGGAAUUCCCGGUGUAGCGGUGAAAUGCGCAGAUAUCGGGAAGAACACCCGUGGCGAAGGCGGCUCUCUGGGACGGUACUGACGCUGAGACGCGAAAGCGUGGGGAGCGAACAGG